UGGGGAAUAUUGCACAAUGGGCGAAAGCCUGAUGCAGCAACGCCGCGUGAGCGAUGAAGGCCUUUGGGUCGUAAAGCUCUGUCCUUGGGGAAGAAAAAAAUGACGGUACCCUUGGAGGAAGCCCCGGCUAACUACGUGCCAGCAGCCGCGGUAAUACGUAGGGGGCAAGCGUUAUCCGGAAUUAUUGGGCGUAAAGAGUGCGUAGGUGGUUUUGUAAGCUCGGGGUGAAAGGCAAUGGCUCAACUAUUGUAAGCCCUGCGAACUGUGAGAAUUGAGUGCAGUAGAGGAAAGCGGAAUUCCUAGUGUAGCGGUGAAAUGCGUAGAUAUUAGGAGGAACACCAGUGGCGAAGGCGGCUUUCUGGACUGUAACUGACACUGAGGCACGAAAGCGUGGGGAGCAAACA
rnacentral:rRNA from 1 species